UCAUGCCUUUUCCUUUUCUUCCCAAGGUUCCACGUGUUAAAGGAAGACAUAGCAAAAACACUAAAAAUCAAAUACCCUUUCAUUCUCUCCGUCUCCUGCUUCCGGAAUCUGUUAUGACAUGCUCAACAAUUAUCUAAUCUGUCGGAGAUGAAAGGAGAAGAAAACAGUCGUGUAGAAGUCUAUUCAUUUUGGUGAGUUUUUUUCUGUAAUUUUCCUUUGUUUGUUGGUAGUCACAAUUUGAUGGGUAUACGUUAGUUUCCUGUUCUUUUGGUUGACAUAUGUUUUUUCUUCAGACGUUUUAUUUGUUGGAUUUCUACAUGCAUGCCAAAGAUUUAGUUGGGUUUUCUCAUCAUUCGUGAUAUGUAUUUGAUCCUUAGUGCAUCGGCUAUUUAGGAUUCUUUACCCGGGUACAUUUUGGGCCCCUUACCUUAUAUAGUGUGCAGGUGAUUCCAUCCUUAAAGAUGAGUGGUAUUCAAUAGAGCUCUAAUAUACUGGUGGUAUCUUCACAUCUUUAAUAACAAUAUUAGACAUGUGCGGAUAUGGGAGAAACGAAUAUGGGUGAAUGUGUAUUAUAAAACUGAGAUUUUUAUAGUUACUUAGAUCUUGCGUAUGAAAGUCUUACAUUGACUAGAUAAGAGGGCAAGAAUAUAUUUCUCUGACAAUCAAAAGACCUAUUCCUUCUGUCCGAUUUAGCAUAGUGUACGAAAGCAAACAUGGUGCUGGUUUCAAUUGCUGGGUUACAAAU